rnacentral:rRNA from 1 species
GACGGGACCCGCACAAGCGGUGGAUGAUGUGGAUUAAUUCGAUGCAACGCGAAAACCUUACCUACCCUUGACAUGUCUGGAACCUUGGUGAGAGCCGAGGUGCCUCGGGAGCCAGAACACAGGUGCUGCAUGGCUGUCGUCAGCUCGUGUCGUGAGAUGUUGGGUUAAGUCCCGCAACGAGCGCAACCCUUGUCACUAGUUGCCAUCAUUUGGUUGGGCACUCUAGUGAGACUGCCGGUGACAAACCGGAGGAAGGUGGGGAUGACGUCAAGUCCUCAUGGCCCUUAUGGGUAGGGCUUCACACGUCAUACAAUGGUCGGUACAACGAGUUGCGAGUCGGUGACGGCGAGCUAAUCUCUUAAAGCCAAUCUCAGUUCGGAUUGUAGGCUGCAACUCGCCUACAUGAAGUCGGAAUCGCUAGUAAUCGCGGAUCAGCACGCCGCGGUGAAUACGUUCCCGGGCCUU